AUGAAAGGUCGUCUCACACUCAAGUCUGUUCAGGGUUGCUUGUGUUCGAGGAUUGCAUGAAGAACUGAACAAGGGACAUCAGGCAGCUGAAAAAACUUUUUUUGCUUGGGUUCUUUUUAGUUGAAUCCACUGCUGUUCUGGCAAAGCUUUGGCCACCUUAAGCAGUAUAUCUGAAUGUCAAACCAUGGCCAGUGUCUCCUGAAACAACACUUCGAAUUACUCAUGUGAAGAAAAAGAAAUGGAGGAGGAGUCACCCGCCAGCAAAUAGUUAUUACUAGACAAUCAAAUAUAAGAGAUGAUGGUUGGUCUGCCAAGGAAAUGGCUGCAAUUUUAAAGAGCUGAGGUCCCUAAGUUAGUAGGAGCAAUGCCAAAACUGUCUCCUAAAUAAGGGACACAGACAAGCACUGGAUAAGAAACUGUGCUUCCUGAGAAGGCUUGUUCAUCAUGUGUAAGGAUGUGAACUCAAGGAAUGAAGCUAUGACAUUUGGAGUCUGUGUGGGUGACAACAGGGAAUGAGAAGUCUGGCUUCCUGGAGAUACUGAGUCUGAACAUGCACACAGAGGAUGAAAAGUGAGAUGAUCAGACCUGAGCCCCACAUAGGAAGUUGCCAAAUAAAUAUUCUGUGGUGGUAAGUGUCUCA
rnacentral:lncRNA from 1 species